UACGAAGGGGGCUAGCGUUGUUCGGAAUUACUGGGCGUAAAGCGCACGUAGGCGGAUAUUUAAGUCAGGGGUGAAAUCCCGGGGCUCAACCCCGGAACUGCCUUUGAUACUGGGUAUCUCGAGUCCGAGAGAGGUGAGUGGAAUUCCGAGUGUAGAGGUGAAAUUCGUAGAUAUCGGGAGGAACACCGGUGGCGAAGGCGGCGACCUGGGUCGACACUGACGCUGAGGCGCGAAAGCGUGGGGAGCAAACAGG
rnacentral:rRNA from 1 species